GUCGGACACAGCUGCAGAAGGAGCGCAGCUCAGUCUGAUCUCAUCAUCAGCAGUUACAGCCUGGUUCGUCCCAGCAGUCGCUGCUGGAUCAUUGUUCCUGCUGGUUCCUCACCAGCCACUCUGCCCAUAUCUGCCCAGUCCUGCUCUGUCCUGCCCAGUUCUGCCCAGUCUACCCUGGAACUCUCCCGAGAGAGGCCAGAAUAAUCCCGGAGGUUCCCCCCUCUGUCCUCGCCUCGGCUCCAAGCCGCUGAUCUCCGCUGCACUCCUGCAGCCCUGGCGCCGCCUCCACAGACUGCAGGCUGCAGAACCGGUCUGCCGCCCCCCCGUUUGGACUUAUUUAAUCAAAUAUUGAGCUGCAGGAUUUUCUGGAAGCGUCUCAAACCUUCACUGCAGCUCCAGAAUCUUCCGUUAACGUGACCGAUGUUACAGCACAACGAGGACAGACUGGAGGAGGAUAUAAACCGACAUGAGGAGACGUAUUGAUGCAAGCACCUGAGAAAAGAGGGCUGGACCCUUUGGAGCACCGAUUCGGGCCCGCAGACCACAUGUUGGACACCCCUGGUCUCUAUGACGGCAUAAAUGCAACGUUUUGUGACAUUUAUUAACAGAAAAGGUGUGAAUUUGCAGGAAAAGUUGGUGAGAAAAGAGCCACGGAUGCUGGUUGAUUAGAAGCUGGAGAGACGUAAUGAAUGUAUAUUAAUUCUGUCACAAAGACAAACAUUGAAAUUGCUUUGCGUGUGACUGGAAUGCAUACGAGCCGCUCUGUCUGCCCAGGUGGGCCGAUAAAUAGGAGACAUUUUAAUAACAAAGACCUUGCCUUUAAUUCAGAAUGUUAAGAGCGGCGCCAUUUGUCAGAGCCGGAGCUAUUGAUGUGUUCAUAAUGGAAAUAAAGAACGUAAACACACAGAGGAGAUGGCAGAUGGUGGAAGUAAGACACCUGAGAGAGAGCCAGAGAUUAAAGAAAAAGCUAGAAAUAAUAAUCAUAAAAUAAAAUAAAUCUCACACAAAGAAAGAAACUAAGAAAAGGCACAGACAGGAAGUGCAUCCAGCCUAUUAAUUAAAGCUCAUCCUGAUUGUUCUAAAAACAGUCGACAGACGACGUCACACAUCAAGUCUCUGAUUCCAUCUGCAGCCAGUCGACUGCUUUGAAGAGAAACAGAAAAGAUUAUUAAAUAAGGCAGGAAUCAUUUCAUGUGCUGUCGAGUCAACAGCUACUAAACAGUGACAGUGACGCUGAUUGGCUCUCUGAUAUCUGAGCAACAGAAGGAUGAAGGACAUGAAGCAGAGCAGCACAAAGACACAAGUGUGAGAGACAAUCAGAGGACUAACAAAGAGCCACAGACAACUAGCUCUCCUCCACUUCCAGACAUCUGCGAGCCUCUUUUAUUCUGUUUCCCUGAAAUGAGAGCAGAACGGCGGCUCCUCUCCAGCCAGCGUUGGCCGCUAAUUAACAGCUCUGGAGAGUUUCACCACCACUCCGUCCUCGUUUUCUGGGAGGUUUUAGGGAAACAGGCGAGAUCCGUG
ensembl:lncRNA